AUUGAACGCUGGCGGCAUGCUUUACACAUGCAAGUCGAACGGCAGCGCGGGGGCAACCCUGGCGGCGAGUGGCGAACGGGUGAGUAAUGCAUCGGAACGUAUCCUGUAAUGGGGGAUAACGUAGCGAAAGUUACGCUAAUACCGCAUACGCUCGAGAGAGGAAAGUGGGGGAUCACAAGACCUCACGUUAUAGGAGCGGCCGAUGUCCGAUUAGCUAGUUGGUGGGGUAAAGGCCUACCAAGGCGACGAUCGGUAGCUGGUCUGAGAGGAUGAUCAGCCACACUGGGACUGAGACACGGCCCAGACUCCUACGGGAGGCAGCAGUGGGGAAUUUUGGACAAUGGGCGAAAGCCUGAUCCAGCCAUGCCGCGUGCGGGAAGAAGGCCU
rnacentral:rRNA from 1 species